CGGGGUGAGUAAUGUCUGGGAAACUGCCUGAUGGAGGGGGAUAACUACUGGAAACGGUAGCUAAUACCGCAUAACGUCGCAAGACCAAAGAGGGGGCCUUCGGGCCUCUUGCCAUCGGAUGUGCCCAGAUGGGAUUAGCUAGUAGGUGGGGUAAUGGCUCACCUAGGCGACGAUCCCUAGCUGGUCUGAGAGGAUGACUAGCCACACUGGAACUGAGACACGGUCCAG
rnacentral:rRNA from 1 species